rnacentral:rRNA from 1 species
UUAAAUUGAAGAGUUUGAUCAUGGCUCAGAUUGAACGCUGGCGGCAGGCCUAACACAUGCAAGUCGAGCGGAAACGAGUUAUCUGAACCUUCGGGGAACGAUAACGG